CAAGGAUUGCUCUUCUGAGAGGCUGCGGUUUAUUACAAAUGGGAAAGCUUUCAUUGCAGAUUGCCCCAGCACUGCAAAGAGGUACGUGACCCAUCUCAGGCGCACUGGGCUCUGCUCUAUAGGGUAGAAGUCACUCACAGAGUGCACAGACAAGAAUUUAACUGUGUGUGUUUGUGUGUGUAUUUAUAAGUUAGGAAGCAUACACAUAUAAAAAUAUAUGCAUGAGUAUUGUGUUUAUGAAUGUGUGUAAAGGCCGUAAAGGGACUCUGGAUGAGACUGCAUGAACAAUAUACCAUGAAAUCAGUGUGCAUGCUUUAACCGUGUAUUAUAGUUUCCAGUAAGCAAACCUACUGGACUAAGGUAUUUUCACGUUGCCUAGUGACCAUCCAUGAAGUGUGUGUAAUAAGCUCGUAUGACAAUCAAGGACUCUUUAUUUUGAAAUAUCACAAAUCAUUAUUUAGUCAAAAAGGGCGUUUCUACACUCUGAACUGCGGACAUACAAAACUGGCUACUAGCAAGAGAGUGUAGUAUGAUGCAUCAGCAGCUGUUUUCCUCUGGAGUUGAUAAACUCAAAACCAAAAACUACAAAGAUGGUGAGGUUUGACUAGCUUACCUAGAGUUUCCAGAAAUGUCACCUGAAAAAAAUACAGUUACUUUAUGUCACAUCAAUCAAUCAAUCAAUCAAACAGUAAUUACAUUUUAUUUAUAUAGUGUCAAUUCACAACAGUUAUCAUCCCAAGACGCAUUCCAAAGAAAAAGAGCAGGUCUUCAUUGUUUGAUGUCACAUGACAGCGAUAAAACAAAACAAAUCUGUUAAAAAUGCAAGUAAUGAAUUGGAUUUUAGACAGCUUUUUUGGUUAAAGAUUGAAUAAUAAUUAAAAAUCUUUAUUUAGGCGAAAAAGCCCAACAAUAGACACUAUCCUUAACCUUCAUUGUGUGUCAAUACAUGUUUCUUGGAAAGUAAGGGCUAAUCGGUUUAUAAUCAGUGAAAAUUUCUUUAUAUAGCCCCCCCACCGACCUCUGACCUUAUUAAAAAACAGGCCAGUAGUUAUUAGUCUGCUCCACACUAGGUUGCAUGCACCAUUACGGCCCCUCAGAUGAUAGCAGGUUGAGGGGGUGGGGUGUGUGUGUUGGGUAAGGGGUCUGGGGAGUAGGUAAUUUGAUUGGUGCAAAAUUAGGGACUCCUCUGCAGAGGCAUUAUGGGAGAGUUCCUAGUGGGUCAUUUUAGCUUCACUUCCUCCAUAUUUCUCAGCUUGAUUAAAAAUUGAUCGGCGAUGGCUAUGUGAAUAUAUUAUUGGGGCCAUUAUUCACCCCUGACAGAUAAUUGGAUGGUACACACAACUCUAUUUUCUUUGGGGGCAAUGCCAUCAGUUGUGUGGCUCUGGUGUGUGUGUGCGCGCAUGUGUGUUUUAGUGUGUGAGGGAGAGAAACAAGGAUGAAAGCAGAGUGAAGAAGAGAGUGUGUAAGUACCGAGUGGAUGGAUGGUUCAGCUGAGGUCUUUUUUUUCCUCCCUUUUUUAUUGUAAGUCAAUAAAUCACUCCCUCUCCUCUUCUAUCGAGCCAUCCCUCCAUCCCUUCCCAACUCUGCUGUCACUCUCUAUGGCUGUGUAUGAUGGAUAUGUUAUUGAAACAUCAUACAAAGCAUAUAAUCAUUUUUCUGGUAAUCAUUCAUAACCUAUUCUCAAGAGUUUGGAAUAGGGCCAUGAAAUACAAUGUCAGAUAAAACCGACAUGGAUUUGGAUUUGCUUUUUAGUUUGUGCUUAUGCUCCAUCUCAAAUUCACUUAUUACCAAAGAUUGAAUUUCCCCUAAAAAGCACUCAAGCUGUGGAAAAUGUCUGUGAAUAAGCCCGUCUGAUAGCAGUUAGCUAGUAUAGCUGCAGGCACACUUGGAUAUUGGAAUGAGCAAAAUGCAAUGUGUGCUUGGUGGCUAAUGCUAUUUGCUAUUUGCCUGAGGCUUAGCUUGCUGCCAUUUUCACGCCUUCUUAAUGCCUUAAACUGCAUGAAAAAUGAAAUGGCUUGCGCAACAUGGAACUAUGCAUAGUAGUCUGAUGGUCUGCAACUAACCAAGUGUGUGAUGCAGCGUGUUGCCUUUAAUAGUUCUUUAGACAUUUUUCAUUGCUGGUGUUUUUGUUGCAGGAUAAAUUUAGUAGUGUUAGUAAAAGUUUCUACAUUUGGCCGCUCAUCUCACAGAGUUAGAUUUUAAGAGGCAUCGUGCUGGAUUUUAUUAUCUACUCGAUCAUUUCAGAUGAAGUAUCUGGUGCUCAUCACAUGGCUCUUUUUAUUUAAAAAAAAAAAAAAAUGGUUGUAAAAUAGUAUCUUGUGUGAUGUGUUUGAUCUGGAUAAUGGACAUGAAGUUGUACAUCAGCUUGUGUCUGGUUUGACUAACCAUUUAGUCAAUCAGCGCAGUCAUGUGGUUGUAAACUAGCAAAGAGGACUGAAAGCUGAUAGUGCUAACUUUGCUAAAGAUUAUCCAAAGACUCAGUGAACCGAUGUGAAGCAAAGUUAAACAAGUUGUGUACAAUUUUGACCUUUUAAAGGGUGUUUUUUUUCUUACCUUGACUCUAAUAAAUUAAUCAGAAUUUAAUUAAUUUAUUUUUAAAAGUAGGAAAGUGAUUUGGGACUUAAAAGAAAUUGUCAUGACAAUGAAUAAUUUAUAAUGAUAAUAAAAUAAUAUAUAUAUUAAUGAUAACAAAAUAAAGUUUUUGGGAACUUCUUAAUCUCAUGAAAAUCUUUAUCAUUAUAUUAGAGCAGGUCUGAGUCAAGGGCCUUAGUUUCAGUGCAUAUCAACAGGGACCGUUUUGACAUCAUGGUUUCAUGACCCCCUCCACAUUAGAGCAAUAAAUGGUAAAAUAAAAAUAUAUCCCUGAAGGGAAGUUGUUGGGAUCGAUCGAUCCACACCUCUGACACAAGAGUCAUGACAGUCAGCUGUACCCAUUUUAUUCAAAGUAAAUCUUUUUCUACAGAGGCAAUUAUCCCAACCCCCUCCUCAUGUACAAAUCAAAUUAGUGGCCAUGAUCUCACUGAUGGAAAGGCCUCUCAGGAAAUGACAUGUGUCCAUAACAUUAUUUGCAGUCUUGCUAGCUCCCACAUUAUCCAUCCAGUGUUGUUCAGUUAACUUCACUUUCUUUCUCUUUCUCUUUCUUGUUUUCUUUUUUAUUCGUUACCUUACUUGUUUCUGUGCCCCCUUUUGUCGUUUUUUUCUCCUGCAUGGUUAAUUCAUUUCUCCUCUUCCUCUUCUCCCAUAACUUUAAUGGUUCCUCUACAACAUCCCUCCCUAAUUCUCCUCCUCUCCUCAUCUUUCCCACUCCCUCUUUCUCUUCUUGUGGGUGGAAAAAACACAGCUUUCCCCCUCACAAAGACCGUUCUCCUGAGUGGAAAUUACCGGCGGAGAUUAAUAACGACAUUAGGCAGUAAUGAUGCUGCACUGAAUGAAAUAUUUAUUAAAGAUCCCUCUGCUAGCAAUUAGCGUGGCAUGUAAUCGUUCAGCACAAGAAAUCAAGAUGAUUGUGCCGCAGUCCCCCAGCCCCUUAUUGCUCUCUUCUCAGAGCCCCCUCCCGUUAACACACAGUUAAAAAACAACCCCCUGUGCAGCCUUGACUUCCACAACAAAACCCCUGCACUCACAUGUCUUCUCUCCAUGACAACAGCAGCUUUGGGAGAACUGUGGAGUUCAUACGUGUGUGUUUCGGGGGGUGGAAACGGUGGAGGUGGUGGUUCUUGCGCAUCCAAUCUUAAUUACAGGCCCCCGUAAGUUGGGGGAGAGGACUCCAAUGGGCAAUUACACUGUCAGGGAUGCAGACCGUGGGUAUCGCUGCUGAUUGGCUCAGGAGAGUGUUGAAGUCAGACCGCAGGCGCGUCAAAGAAAGCCGACGUUUUUCGUCUUCGUUCCAAGUUCCUGCCAAGCUGUCCAGGGCAGCAGCGAGAGAAGUGAGAGAAAAGCUCAUUAUUGAAUGCCUGUCCUGUGUCUUGGAGUCCACUCACUUCCAAUGCCUAAAGGGACAGGUUAGCACAAGUUCCAAAGAAGUUUUCCGUCCAAGAGAUUUCAUUUGUUAAACUUUCUGAAAAACUUUUUAAAGUUGUACGUUGUACAACCUCCUGGUUCAGCAAUGAAACACGAGGGAUUCUGAUGAUUUUUCUCUGAAUUAAUUUCAAUAUUUGGAUGCUAAAUAGUCAUAAAAAAAGUUAAAAUGGAAAGUGAUUUUUAAGAUGAAGUGCCCUCGAGGUAAAUGCACUGAAGAAUCUCAAGGCAGAGCCUAUGGAAGAGUAUUUAGUUUGAGUUUGUUGUGCGAUAUUAACCAAUCACUAAUGACUUUAAAAAACAGAAAUCUAUAUGUUUGAGGUACACUGAGAAUUUAUCUUAAAAAAAAUACUUCAUUUCCACACUUGGACUGAGUUGAAAAUGAUUGAUCCGACCUUUUUGAAAUUAUUUGUCGUCUUGAAAAAACACCUUACAAAGAUGACCUUUUUACUUUUACAAAUCUGCAUUAUGAACGAACUGAAAACUUAUUGAUUUUAAAUACAUCACAAGAAAGCUUCUUUUAAAGGCUCACACCUCUGAAGUAAGUCAGAGUGAAGCCUCUGAAUGACAGGGUUUCUGCUGGGUUUUGAAAAGUCUCGAAACGUCUCAGAUCAAAUCAUUUGAAUUUGAGCCUUAAAAUGUAUAAACUUCUCUUAAAACCUCGAAAAAUGUCUUAAAUACAAAUUUUAAAGGUCUUAAAAAUGUAUUGAUGUUACUUACAUAUAAAGAUUGAUUUGAAGUUGUUUUGAAAGCCACCUUUUACUGUGUAACUGAGACUCACCAGAUGCCCUGAGACAACUCAUGGGGAUGUGAAGAAGUUUUUUUCCAGACAUACCCAACAUGGCUUUUUUUCUGCACAUAGAUUUGCUUUUCAAGUUUUUGAUUGGACUGAAGACAGCACAGCACAUAGAAAAGUGUCGGCUGUGAUUGCCCUUGAAUGCCGUUGUUUGUGUUCACACAAGCAUGACCUCAUUUUCAAGUCGUCACCUGAGAAGGACAAUGGAAAGAAGGAGGCGUGAAGGAGAUGAGGAGGAGAGGCAGGUCAGGGUGGGUGUUUGUUGUUACAGCAAAAGGUCAGAGGUCAGAUAAUCAAAAGUGUCCGUUUAUUGGCUACAUCAUCAAACCUCAAGGAGCUCAUCAAUGCAGCCAGUCAGGCGUGUGGCUCUGCUAAUCAGCUCUCAGGCGAGUGUUUAUCCGUGCCGAUACCGUCCUCAGAGCAACUAGAAAGAGACAGAAUGAGUGAAAGAAAGGGGGAAGGAAGAGAAAGGGGUAGGGAGCAUGAAUCGGAGAGCGUGGGCUAAUGUAAUACUAGUUCACUACACAAAGGGCAGUGGGGAGAGACGGAUCAAUUUGCAAUAUUGUGGGCUGCGGGCCCGGCAACAAAGGCAGGACAUGAAAGCAAGCACAUUAAGUGAUGCUCUUGUAUGAACUCUGGCAAUCAAUAAACAUCAGGGUGAAAGGGGAGCGGGGCACAGAGUGUAUGAGGGGAACGAGGGAAGUAGACAGAAACAAGAGGAUGGGUGAAAGUGAGGGAUAAGAGAACAAUAGAUGGAGUGAAAGAGUGAUGGUAGAAGAUAAGACUGAAAUCUAACCACAGAGUUCUUUGUUUGACAAACUUUGCUGCUGCUCUCCACUCAGAUAGUUAAUUAGAUAGUUAUCUUUAGCCCUUUGAUAGAUUAGAUAAGCCCUUAAUUAAUCUUUGAAUCUAAUUAACUUUCUUGCUAUUAAUAGGUUUGGCCACAUUUCUGUACCUUUGACUGUCAAAGCAGUGAAAUGAGUUCACAGUUCAGGCAGGGGGAGAAUCCCUGUCAGAAUGAAAAAGUUUUCUCCAGAAUCGCACUCAGCCACUCAGUAAAUGUUUUGAAAAACACAGAAAAUCAAUUAAUGCAAAAAUGUGUCUGACAGAGUCCUUUCUCAUCGAUGAUUUGCUGUCAUGUUUUCUCUUUUCUCUUCAUCUCUUGAUGACUUUCCAGCUGUUUGAAAUGACUUAAUUUAGUCAAACUGAUUUUUCUGAUUCCAUCAUUUAAGUUGAAAACUUUUUCCUCAACCCAACAUUUUGAGGAUCUUGUGUUAUUUAACUUUCUGCAGUCAUUUUCUGAGCAUGUUCAACCACAAGGCUUUAACUGGAUGCAUGUUACUGUGUGAAAAGAUUAAGUGUGUGUAUUUCCUUUGUUCAGUAUUGACUGUAGCUUGUACCUUUAAGAAAUAUUUAUCGUUUCCAUGAGAAGACAGUAUUUCCUGCAACCUCUCUGCAGAAGUAAUUUCCCUUUGGGACAAUAAAAUCUACCUUGACCUUCAUCUUAAGAAUGGGGAUGAUACUUAGGGAGCUUAUGGAGUAGAGGAGGAGGGGGAGGUAUGAGUGAUAGAAAAACAGAGAAGAUUUUAUACCUUUAUAAAAAUAUGCCCUCUACUUUUUUAAUUUAGAUAAAUCCCGUUGAGAUCAAAGGUCACUGGAACAAGGGAACAUUAAAAGUUCUAUAAAGAGGGGUCCUGCUUUCAUAUCUUAGUUCAUCUGACAAUUUCUCAGGGUUUCUCAAUGAAGAGAGAAAGUCUAGUAGGUCUUUGUUUAACAAUAGAAGUGUAAGCAGCUAAAACGCAGUGUUUCAGACGGAGCUUGAAAUAAUGAUAUUUUAAUACACCAAUAUUGGAGGUAUCAGAGUGGUGGUAUGGAGUCUCAAAAAAACACAUAACACCCCUCUUUAAAGUCCUGUGAAAGAGAGUUUUUCACGUCAUUUACCUGCAAAUAAUAUUAUGUCACACACUAUGAACAUGUUAUGUUAAAUAUACCUUAAUGUGGGGACAAAAACAACUUGCUUAAGUUGUAUUUUCAGGCUUUAAAACAGUAGAUUGAAGAGGGAUGGGAGAGUGAAUGGGCAGUGACAUAAGGCAAAGAGCCACGGCUUAGAAUCUGAUCCAGGCUGCCUGCAAAAAAAAAAAAAAAAACAACAUGGAAAAAUCUUGUGAAAGGUAUGUGUACAUCCAGUGUAUAAUCUUUAGAUAGAGAUUAUUUUACUGUAUGUCAAAGACCAUAGACUGUACAUAGAAUGGACGUCGUCUGCCUCCUCGCUGGGUGAAGCCACUCCGAGAACAGCACCCUCUGUUGAUGGGCUGCAGUAUAGGUCAUAAAUCCCGCCUCCGCCAGCAAAGCUUAUGGGGCUGUGGACAAACUUUAGAAAUUUAUUACACAGAACAUACAUUUUUCUCCCCCCUGGUUGUGAUGUUGACAUGUAGUUACUGUAAGACUGGUUUGUGCUCAAGUUCUUUUUUUUCUGUACAGCUCCGUUUUUAAAAGUUAUUAGGGGGUUCAUGUUUGCUAUGAUUGACACCUGAUACAGCCCAUGGGCGUUCCGGGAUUGCGUAGCUCUCCCGGGGGAUACGCUGUUUGAGCCGAGUGUUGUCACAGCAACUCUCUGCGACUGUGCGGCCGAAUGAGCGCAUUGCUACUGCGCAGCGCUGGUUUGAGGAAAUGAAGAAAAAUCCCGGAAAUAUCGAGAGCUAUUCGGCUUCAAAUCCGUAUACAGGUGGUAGGCGGAACCAAGUUGUCCAUGGUAUAUACAGUCUAUGUCGAAGACCCAACAGAUCCAACAGAUCUCUUUGAUGCCCCCUCCAGAGUUUUCCAGCAUUCUCUGUCAACGGCCUGGUUGUUCCAUUACACAUGCACGCACAUGCACGCACGCGCUUGCACCACACACACACACACACACACACACACACACACACACACACACACACACACACACACACACACACACACACACACACAGUAUCCCCCCGCUGGGACCAGGGAGCUUCAUUUGCAUUAUGAUGGCAGGCAGAUUAAGUACAUUCCAGUGCACACUAAAAGGACUCAUAAUAAAACACAUACACAAUCCACACAAGUGCAUGCUGUCUACACACACAGACACACAGACACACACACACUCUUGUCUUUGGGCCAGUAAGGCAGGCUUCGAACAAAACCGGUGCCCAGUGCAGGGUACCAAUCCCAUUACUUGCCCCGUCCUCUGUUACCCCCUACCUCUGCAGUGAACAAAGGAUGUAGACAUGGAUAGGAUCUAAACCUCAGUGAAUAAGAGCAGGAGGAGGAGGAGGAGAAAAGCCAAGCGAUGAGAGAAAAAGAUGAGAAGAAGGGCAGAAAUCAGGGUGGGGUGGGCGUUGGAGAAAUAACUGACAGGCAGCUAGGGGGACUAAGCUCAUUUAGAUAAACGACAACCCCGACUGAGAUAAAACCAAUGAUGAUUUGUACUGCAUCUUCAGGGCAUAAAAGUCGUCCUAUUUGAUUCCACUGGGCCCCGGCGCCCUGUGAUUUCACAGGCCCUUAUGCAGAGCGAUUGUGUGGCUCCCAGCGUGAUGGUGCAGGCCACUGGAGAGGGGUGGAAAGGUGACUCCUGCAAGGAGAGGGGGAGGAAAGUCCCAUCCUUAGUUGGAAAUGUCAAAUACAAUGCACAGGGUGAUGGACAGAAACUGUGAGGGCUGAUGCCAGGGUCUUCCUGUCUCUGUUGUUGGGUGUUUGAUUUCUUCCUCUUUCUGCCCAGCCAGUGCAAACAGACUCACAGCUGCUGAGUAAUCUGCAGUCAAAGAAGCUUUUGAAGUUUAAUCAAUGGUUUGAUAAUCAGCUGUGCAAGUAAUCAGUAUGUAAAAGCACUUUUUCUUUAGGAAACCAGGACUGCAGUCACUGUGAGCCACCUAUAUAUAUAUAUAUAUAUAUAUAUAUAUGCUCCUUCCUCUUUUUUUUCAUUUCAAGUAUUUUGAUGCGAAGCAUAAGCAAUAGAUAUGUAAAUGUCCAAUGAUAUAAUGUUCAGUAUAUCAGAAUCAGAAUCAUCACAUCCCCACUUGUUAUUGGAUGUAAAUGUUCAUUAAAUAAAAAAGAGGUCAAACUAUUUAAAGAUCUCAUAAAUUAUUUCUCUUCAUACCAUUUGCCAAAAUAACUUUGUUUAAUGACUUACAAAACAUGACAGUCAAAACAACAUACCAGACAAUCAGUUCAUGGGACUAAAUUGGCCCAAUUUAGUUUCUAAAAGUACACUUGAAGCAUACUUGAAAGUUAACUAUAAUAUUAGUCUACUAGUAAUAAACUUAUAGUCCCCUCUUUAGUUUCUAAAAGUACACCCUAAACAUAUUUAUAUAUAUAUAUAUAUAUAUAUAUAUAUAUAUAUAUAUAUAUAGAGAGAUAUAUAUAUAUAUAUAGUGAUAUAUAUAUAUAUAUAUAUAUAUAUAUAUAUAUAUAUAUAUAUAUAUAAUACAUACAGCACAUAUAAAGGUAUGUUUCAGGGUGACCACAGUGGGGGCCACAGUCCCCAACAUGGGGCGCAUUUUAAUCCACUCAGCUAUCUGCAUGCUGACUCUGAAAUAUUAGUAAAAUUGCCUGUAGUAUGCUAUUAUUUCAAUAAUAGUAUAUAUUUGUAUACUUGGGGAAAAAAAGGGGAAAGAAAAUGAUGCCCCAGCAAGUGACGAGGUACAAGGACGAUUUCACCACAAAAGCCGACUGGUUUGAUAGAUUUGUCCUCUGCAACCACUUUACUGUGAGAAGACUCACAACUGUUACCCAUUGCAAUAUUUCCAAUAAGGUUAUUAUUUGUUGUUUUUGACUGUGGAAGAUUUCAUAAGAGAACAAUUAAAGGCACAUGUCUUAUUGAUGCUGGUCCCAGAAAAAGGCAGGUGGAGUUUGCAGAUGAUACCAAUAAAAGCCAAGGCUACAAAUUUGAGUUUUACGGUAGUGGCAACAGUUAGACAGCAGCUAAAGUUAACCUUCAGCAACAUGCAGGUUAAUAUUUCUGCUGGCCGAAGAUGGCCAAUCUAUUACACAGACUGCAUAUUAAUAUGGAUACCAAGAGUGUUCACAAACUGUGAAGCCAAAAGAUUUAGAGCUCGGCCACUGUGACUGCAAUACAGAUCAUAAACCCUGCCUCCUCUAUUAUAGCAGAUGGACAUGCAGUAGGUCAUACAGUACCUUGAAAUUGAAAUAAGAAAAGUUUUUACCAAAUCUGGUUUCUGUCAUCACAGUUGGUUCUUAUUAUGUCGAAUUGAGUCCAGGUGUUCAUUUGAACAAGUUCAGCUUUGAUCAGUUGUUUGGUUAAAAAAGGGUUAAUUUGUGUAUUUACUUUUAAUUAGUAUUAUACCAUUUUUUUAUUGUAUGAAUUUUAUUUAUAUAGUUAUUAAUACUUUUCUUUUUUUUGGCUACAUAAAUGCAUAUAUACUUUUUUGUCCUCUUUUCCCUCUUGCUUUCUUCCUAUAUUUAUUUUUCUCACUAUCAGAGGCCAAAUUAACUGGUGGUAUUAUUCUUACCAUAAAUAUUUUGUCUGUUGUUACUCUUUCUUGCAGACAGAGAUAAGAACCAGAAAAUUGAAAGAAAAAUUUAUAUGAAUAUGGUUUGAUACUGAGGAGACCAACAAGCCUGCUACACGACUGUACACUUUGGGUGUAAUAUAUUUAUGUAUGCACUUAUUUACUUAUUUUUCUUUUCCUUCUCUUUUUUCUGCAUUGUCCUGAAUUUAUGUGUAUGUGUUUGUAUGAUUUAUGUUUGAUCAGAAAAUGAAUUAUUAUACUCUGUGGCACAUGAAAAUAAAAUUAAACAUUAUGGUUAAAAAAAAAAAAAGGAUUGACAAGUCCACUGUGUGUCACUACUGUGACAAGAGAAGAACAAGAAAACGUAC
rnacentral:lncRNA from 1 species